AAUCAUUAAUAGUUAGUUAUAGAUACCUGCAUAAUUUUGCUACUAUCAUACUAAAUGCACAGAUAACACAUACAUACAAGUUGACAAAUUUUAUUUCGGAACAGGUACCUACAUUAGUAUAUGCAUUAGUACUCCUAAAUCAAUAUAACAUAAAUAUAAAAGUGCUCAAAAAAAUGUUUGUUCGAUAAUACUAGUACCCUAAACGGAAACGGAAAUACGUAUAAACGAGUUUUAAAAGUUUCCAUUCAUAAAAGGUACACAUUUUAUCACAUCCCACAACAUAAGAGUACAAUGGCAUUUAAUGCUCUAAAAUUGGUGUUUUAUACGUUGAUAGUGCAUAUUAUUGUUCCAGACAUUCCAAGUAAAGUUACAACAACGUUCGGAUCAACUAAUGAAAGAAGUAAGUUUAAUAAUAUCGUAAACGAAUUUCAGACAAAAUAUAAUCUCAAUAAAGGGGCAGAGAUUAUUACCAAGCAUCAAAAUAAACGUUUCGGCCAAAUACCUGGAGAAUUUAUCACUUUAGAAAUCGAUUUACUUCUAAUAUUACAGCAAAUGGCCUACAUGUAUGAUAAAAGAAGUGAAAGUGGACUUAUGUAUGAGGACUAUUUUUUAAAGAUCUGCUCAAUUCUUNUUAAUAAUAUCGUAAACGAAUUUCAAACAAAAUAUAAUCUCAAAAAAAGGGCAGAGAUUAUUACCAAGCAUCAAAAUAAACGUUUUGGCCAAAUACCUGGAGAAUUUAUCACUUUAUAAAUCGAUUUACUUCUAAUAUUACAGCAAAUGGCCUAAAUGUAUGAUAAAAGAAGUGAAAGUGGACUUAUGUAUGAGGACUAUUUUUUAAAGAUCUGCUCAAUUCUUCCAAGAUGUUUGGAUUUUAUCAAUAUAAAUGUCUUUCAGAAUUCAAUAACAGUUCUUUUGAAUAAAAUUCAUAUCGUUCUUUGUUAUUCAUUACCAACCUAUUUCAAGACAUAUAUCAAUGCGUCACCUUAUAAUAUCGAAAACGAAAUUUUUGAUAAAAAAAUUAAGAGAAAUUUGGCCUCUAUAAUAUUAAUGACAGAAAUUAAGACAAAUAAUAGUGACAAACUGUUUGAGCAACCGAAUUACACAAGUGACAGUAUAAAUUUUAUUCUAAAUGUUUACGAAACCAUUAGUAAUGUCGAUUUUUUAUCAUGUAUUAGUGAAAAUCUCGGUAAACUAAAGCAGCAUUAUGAUGAACAUAAAUUGCAUACUAACCAAAAAAAAUUCAAGGUGACUGAAGUAAUUACCAGAGACAAUGAAAUGCAAAUAAAUUCUGAAAACAAUGUAUAUUUUCUGGAACUCAAUAAAAAUAUGUAGAUGAACUUCGGAAAAAAUGCGGCUUAUCAUAUUUUGAAAUUCAGUCACAAGAUUUGUCAAACUUAAAAGCAAUUUUUUAUUAUACAUUAAAGAGACUUCAACAUUAUUUUACAAAUUCUAUUUUGAACGGUUCAGAGAAACUUUCACGAGCAACCGAAAAUGAAAUGGAGGAGACGUACAAUCUGAUGGACACGUUAAAUAAAAUGUGUCAGAAAAUCUCUUUGAUUCUAGUCUAUUUAAAAGAAAGUGAGGUUAACGACGACUCGAUAAUAUUCAGCUUGUAUUUGACGUUUUGCGGAGACUUCAAGGGAUACACUGACAUCCGUUGCACCAAUGUAUUUCACGGUACUGCAGCAAAUAAGAGUCUCAAAGCCGUGAAACCUAAUUGUACCCGAUAAACGGUGAAAAAUAUUUGGACGUGGAAUAUAUUUAUGACCACAAUUAAAGUCCCGAAAAAAAGUGGAAACAAAUAUUUAACCGAAAAUUGUAAAAUUUUGUACAUGAAUUAUUUGAAGAAUAUCCACAAUACUAUAAAACAAUUUUAUAAAGGAAUCGGUGUUUGGACCANUCUGUAGGGAAUUUUCAUAAUGUGGUUGUACAACAUUUAGACAGUACAAUGAAUACUUUCGUUUACAAAUAUGCGCAAAUUAUAGAUUUGUACUCAGAACGCAUAGGUAUUAACGUCGAAGCUAAUGAUAACUUUUUUGUCGACCGUAGAGAAGUCUAUGGACAUAAAUUUCGAAUCCCAUUCUGCUACUACUAUGUACUCACAGUACUGUCCGGAAAAUAUAUUUGAUAUUAAAUCCGCUAUCAAGCUUAUGAGCGUAGUUAGAGACAAGCAAAAUAAAAGAGAGGCCGGUUCUCAAAGCGUAGUCAUUGGUUCGAGUUCACCUGGAAAUAAAUCAAAUGUUAAGACUCUUUUGAUGGGUUUCCUUAAACUUCAAUAGAAAAGUUAGUGUGAACCUAGUAUUAAUUUUUUUUAUGAAUUUAAUAAAUUUAUGUUUAUUAUAUAUUUUGAUAAAAAUUAUUCAUAGUUAGUAUGUCCUUUUAACGUGUUUAUUGUGUUCAUCUAUAUCAACCUUAAAUAUAGUUACAAUUUUAAAAAUUAAAUGAACAAUACAAAUAUACUUUUUAUGUAUAGCAAAUGUAUUAUGCUACUAUUAUUUGUAACUGAUUACAAAAUGUUAUGUUUUUUUUUUCUGUAUACAAAUUGAUGAUAUAGUUUUGCGAAAUUAGCGGUUUAUACUUUUAUUUAUGUGUAUUUAUUUUAAAAUUUGGGUUUUAUUAUUCAAACAAUAAAUAGCAAUAUAAUUAAAAUAAUUAGUUCGUUCUAGUUUAGUAAUAAACGUAGUAAAAUUUUUUUAUUAUAUUAUGUAGAUAAUUGUUUUUCUAUAUUGUAAAAUUUUGUCCAUCAUUUUUUGGUAUUGUGAUUAUUUUCCCUGACUAGUUGAAACACUGCGAGAAAACAUUGGUAGUACGAUAAAAAUUUCUCUGAUGGAUAUGUUUUUGAAAAGUACUGCUAACAAUUUUAUGCCAAAUUCGCGUUACUCGGUUAUUGGUUAUUACGGCGUUUUUACCUAUAGUAUUGGAAACACUUAUGUUGGCCGACAUGUCAGUUUACUAAAUCGG
rnacentral:lncRNA from 1 species